rnacentral:rRNA from 1 species
AACCAGGAGGUUGGCUUAGAAGCAGCCAUCCUUGAAAGAGUGCGUAAUAGCUCACUGGUCAAGUGAUUCUGCGCCGAUAAUGUAGCGGGGCUCAAGUACACCGCCGAAGUUGUGGCAAUGAUCUUUUUGGAUUGUUGGGUAGGGGAGCGUCGUGUGGCCGUUGAAGCUGCGGUGUAAACCAGUGGUGGAGGCUAUGCGAGUGAGAAUGCAGGCAUGAGUAGCGAAAGAUGAGUGAGAAACUCAUCCGCCGGAUGAUCAAGGGUUCCAGGGUCAAGUUAAUCUGCCCUGGGUUAGUCGGGGCCUAAGGCGAGGCCGACAGGCGUAGUCGAUGGAUAACGGGUUGAUAUUCCCGUACCGGUGAAAAACCGCCCAUACUGAUAUUGUGAUGCUAACCAUGCGAAGCAUGAUGUGCAGGCUUUUGUUUGUGUGUUGUGUGGGUUGUGGGACCCGAUCUUUGGAGGUAAACGUGUUAACAGGUGUGACGCAGGAAGGUAGCCAAGCCACGCGAUGGUUGUCGUGGUCUAAGCGUGUAGGGUUGUCGGUUGUUAAAUGCGCCGGCUGUGUGCCUGAGACGUGAUGGGACCCCGUUUUUGGGGGAUUUGGUGAUCCUAUGCUGCCGAGAAAAGCAUCGGCGUGAGGUUUUAGCCGCCCGUACCCUAAACCGACACAGGUGAUCAGGUAGAGAAUACUAAGGCGAUCGAGAGAAUCAUGGUUAAGGAACUCGGCAAAAUGCCCCCGUAACUUCGGGAGAAGGGGGGCCCUGAGCGUGAUCUGCCCGUGCGGUGGGGAGCGUGUAGGGGUCGCAGAGACCAGGGGGAAGCGACUGUUUAUCAAAAACACAGGUCCGUGCGAAGUCGUAAGACGAUGUAUACGGACUGACUCCUGCCCGGUGCUGGAAGGUUAAGAGGAUUGGUUAGCCCUUUUGGGCGAAGCUGAGAAUUUAAGCCCCAGUAAACGGCGGUGGUAACUAUAACCAUCCUAAGGUAGCGAAAUUCCUUGUCGGGUAAGUUCCGACCUGCACGAAUGGAGUAACGACUUCCCUACUGUCUCAACCAUGAACUCGGCGAAAUUGCAGUACGAGUAAAGAUGCUCGUUUCGCGCAGCAGGACGGAAAGACCCCGUGACCUUUACUAUAGUUUGGUAUUGGUGUUUGGUUUGGCUUGUGUAGGAUAGGUGGGAGACUGUGAAGCAUGGACGCUAGUUUGUGUGGAGUCGUUGUUGAAAUACCACUCUGGUCAAUCUGGAUGUCUAACUUCGGGCCAUGAUCUGGUUCAGGGACAGUGCCUGAUGGGUAGUUUAACUGGGGCGGUUGCCUCCUAAAGUGUAACGGAGGCGCCCAAAGGUUCCCUCAGCCUGGUUGGCAAUCAGGUGUUGAGUGUAAGUGCACAAGGGAGCUUGACUGUGAGACUGGCAGGUCGAGCAGGGACGAAAGUCGGGACUAGUGAUCCGGCGGUACGUUGUGGAACGGCCGUCGCUCAACGGAUAAAAGGUACCUCGGGGAUAACAGGCUGAUCUUGCCCAAGAGUCCAUAUCGACGGCAUGGUUUGGCACCUCGAUGUCGGCUCGUCGCAUCCUGGGGCUGGAGUCGGUCCCAAGGGUUGGGCUGUUCGCCCAUUAAAGCGGUACGCGAGCUGGGUUCAGAACGUCGUGAGACAGUUCGGUCCCUAUCC